rnacentral:tRNA from 1 species
GGGGCAUUAGCUCAGCUGGGAGAGCGCCGGCUUUGCAAGCCGGAGGUCAGGGGUUCGAUCCCCCUAUGCUCCACCA